rnacentral:rRNA from 1 species
GACGAACGCUGGCGGCGUGCCUAACACAUGCAAGUCGAGCGGAGAUACAUUGAAGAGCAAUCAGAUAUGUAUCUUAGCGGCGGACGGGUGAGUAACGCGUGGGCAACCUGCCUCAUACUGGGGGAUAACACAGGGAAACUUGUGCUAAUACCGCAUAAUAUCAUUAUAGGGCAUCCUGUGAUGAUCAAAGGAGCAAUCCGGUGUGAGAUGGGCCCGCGUCCAAUUAGCUAGUUGGUGAGGUAACGGCCCACCAAGGCGACGAUUGGUAGCCGAACUGAGAGGUUGAUCGGCCACAUUGGGACUGAGACACGGCCCAGACUCCUACGGGAGGCAGCAGUGGGAAUAUUGCGCAAUGGGGGAAACCCUGACGCAGCAACGCCGCGUGAAGGAUGAAGGUCUUCGGAUUGUAAACUUCUUUGAUGAGGGACGAACACAAUGACGGUACCUCAAAAACAAGCCACGGCUAACUACGUGCC